rnacentral:rRNA from 1 species
CCUACGGGAGGCUGCAGUAGGGAAUCUUCCACAAUGGGCGAAAGCCUGAUGCAGCCACGCCGCGUGUGUGAAGAAGGUCUUCGGAUCGUAAAACCCUGUUGUUAGAGAAGAAAGUGCGUGAGAGUAUCUCUUUACGUUUCGACGGUACCUAACCAGAAAGCCACGGCUAACUCCGUGCCAGCAGCCGCGGUAAUACGUAGGGUGCAAGCGUUAUCCGGAUUUAUUGGGCGUAAAGGGAACGCAGGCGGUCUGUUAAGUCUGAUGUGAAAGCCCCGGGCUUAACCGGGGUACUGCAUUGGAUACUGGCAGGCUUGAGUGUCGUAGAGGAGGGUGGAACUCCAGGUGUAGCGGUGAAAUGCGUAGAGAUAUGGAAGAACACCGGUGGCGAAGGCGGCUCUCUGGACGGAGACUGACGCUGAGGUUCGAAAGCGUGGGUAGCAAACAGGAUUAGAUACCCUAGUAGUC